ACAAUUAAGCUACACUUGUCCCUAUGGCUCACUCACUUAAAAUCCAUGUUUCUCCCCCCCCCCCGCUCCAGUAUACCACCUCAUGCCCCCUAAAAAGUCAGAGAACAAACAAUCCACAAUAGCCUACUAGUCAGAGAACAAAUAACUCACAUAUAAGUCACAGUACAUAGGCUCAAAAAUGGAUCUCUCCGCCCCAUGCAGGGGUGCUCCAGUCAGUCCAACAUAGGGCAAGAUGGUGUGGCAUCUCCUCCAUGAGGAGAGUUGGUAACAAGCAUGACUUGUCCCUUAGCUAAGCAGGGGCCACCCUGGUUGCAUAUGAAUGGGAGACUAGUAGUGUGAGCACUGUAAGAUAUUCCCCUCAGGGGAUGGAGCUGCUCUGGGAAGAACAGAAGGUUUCAAGUUCCCUCCUUGGCUUCUCCAAGAUAGGGUUGAGAGAGAUUCCUGCCUGAAACCUUGGAGUAGCUGCUGCCAGUCCAUGAAGACAAUAUUGAGCUAGAUAGACCAAUGGUCUGACUUAGUAUAUGGCAGCUUCCUAUGUUUCUCCUCCAGCCACUAAACCCAGAGGUGUAUUAGAUGAGCCAAAUCCAUCGUCUACUACACUCAAACCAAAACUGGAGAACCCACUGCUCUGGGCACCAAAGCCUGUUGUCUGCUGAGAGAGAUCCCAAGGUGAGGGUGUUCUGGCUUGCCAGUGUGCCAAAAGAUACAGUGCUAGCCAUGUUGCCAAAGCCAAAUCCUCCAUUGCUGGCUGCUGCUGUCCCCUCACCGGAGACUUUGCAGGUAGUAGGAGCAAUCUUUUCCUGUUAGGAUUGGCCAGAGGCAGAGCCUUAAAAUCAACUAAGUAUGUCUGCCGGCUUCUCUUCCUCCUCCUCUUCCACUAGGCAGGGCCAGCCCUAGGAUUCUUAGUGCCCUGGCAAUAUUUGACUUUGGCGCGCGCGCGCGCACACACACACACACACACACCAGCCAAGAAGUGCAGAGCGCUGGCUUUAACUUGAGCUAGUCAGGCUGCUCAUUUGUUACGUCCAAUGACCAGCUUAUGCAGAUGACCAACUAAUGACAGCUUGCCCUGGUUUGGGGAUACAGUGGGAGGGGCUUGAGGAACUCAGAGCCCACUCAGAGCCCUCCCUUCCUCUAUUGCCACCCCUUCCCCCUCUCAGCUAUUCGGGCCCUGCAAUCGUCAGGCCCUCUCCCUGAGAUGCGCUUUUAAUGGUGCUGUGAGGAACUUCCCUUUGCAACCAACCAGGCCCAAUUACAGACAAGCCAACCGUCGCCCUCACCACCUACCUCCUGUUAGCGGACCUGCACUUGAGAAAACAGGGUGGAGUAUCUGAGUAGCCACAGCAAUAACAGAAUGGAGGAGGGCAGGGAGGGGGCAGGGACAAAGAGUAUUGAGGAGGGGGAGGAAAGCAAGCCAGAGAACAGCUAAGAACUGGGCCCCGCCUACUUGACUUCUAGGUCUGCCUAGUGGACAGACCAGCCCUGACGCUAGUAUUUUCAUGUACAGAAUAGGCCUCUUCACCUGCCUACUGCUGUUCAGAAGAAAUAUGGGGUAGGAAGUCAGGAGUGGCUGAAGAAAUCUGGGACCUGGAGAACCAAAUGUUGCCCUCUGACACACCCACUCUUGCACACCCCUCCUGCCCCAGCCCCUUUCCUGACUACUCAGUAGUUGAGAAAGGAAUGCAACAGCUCAGCAGCACGUUGUUGCUGUCCUGCCUUUGCUCUUUGCUGCUAGGUUGGUGAUGCACGAGAGUGCUGCUGUACUCAGCAGUAGCAGCCAUGGAGGAAGAAGAGGAGAUGGAAGAGAAGGCAGAGGAAGGAGAAGGGAUCUCUGCCCAUAGAGCUGAUGUAGAGGUGUGCCGCCCAUAGAGUUGAGCUGGCUAGAGUGGUGCUGCUGCCAUUGUGACACUGCUGGCCACAGCAGAGGUGAGCAAGUAAGGGGAGGCAGAAUGGAUCACAGCAGCAGUGCUCCAGUGCAUGGAUUCCAAGAGAGAAAAAGUUUUCCUCCUGCUUCCUAAACCACUCAACCACAGCACUCAUCACAUCAUCGUUGGAAAAUUUGGUUCCCCAUAAGUAUUCCUUCAAGAGCUGACAUGCUUCAGAGAAAUGUCCUCAGAAAAAAGGAACACCACCUAUGGAUACCAAAUUUGCUAUGGAGCCCUCCAAGGAGUUAUAGUAUGCACUGGCAAACUUUAAAUCUAUCAUCACAUUUCAUUCACUGUGUCAUUCUAUGAACUUAUUGCUCAAUCCUCAUUUUUUAUGUUAUGUUAUUUUAUGUGUCACAUUUCAGUACUGCCCAGUCUAAUAGCUCUGGGCACUUUACAAUCCAAACUUUUAUUAGAUCUUGCCCUGAAGUUUUUAGACCUCCUGGUUGUACAAGCUUAAAACUAUGGAAAACUGUGGCGGUAAUUGUGGUGACAAUCGCCAAUAUGAUGCACAAUUCUAACAUGUUCAUAAGAACAUGUGGUACCACUGCAGCAGAGCCAGAAACUGUGGUGCCACUGUAGAAAACUGGUGGUGGCAGCAUUAUCAUAUUUUUCCCAUUGUCAACAAUGGAGAAAAAUGUGGUAAUGCUGGCAGUGCUACCGCCCAUUCUCUAUAGCAGUGCCACUGCUUUCAGCUCUGCUGCAGCAGUGCAGCAGUUUCCUCUGAAGACAUUAGAACUGCACAUCAUGCCAACCAAUGAUAAGCCCUUUAUUAAAAGAUAAA